AUUGAACGCUGGCGGCAUGCUUUACACAUGCCAGUCGAACGGCAGCGCGGGCUUCGGCCUGGCGGCGAGUGGUGAACGGGUGAGUAAUGCAUCGGAACGUGCCCAGUAGUGGGGGAUAGCCCGGCGAAAGCCGGAUUAAUACCGCAUACGACCUGAGGGUGAAAGCGGGGGACCGAAAGGCCUCGCGCUAUUGGAGCGGCCGAUGUCGGAUUAGCUAGUUGGUGGGGUAAAGGCUUACCAAGGCGACGAUCCGUAGCUGGUCUGAGAGGACGACCAGCCACACUGGGACUGAGACACGGCCCAGACUCCUACGGGAGGCAGCAGUGGGGAAUUUUGGACAAUGGGGGCAACCCUGAUCCAGCCAUGCCGCGUGCGGGAAGAAGGCCUUCGGGUUGUAAACCGCUUUUGUUCGGGAAGAAAUCCUCUGGGCUAAUACCCCGGGGGGAUGACGGUACCGGAAGAAUAAGCACCGGCUAACUACGUG
rnacentral:rRNA from 1 species